AUUUGCUUUUAAUAUACUUGAAGAAACAGCAAAGAUGAGGGAAGCGUGUAAGACGUAAUCCAAAAAUUAGCUAUGCUGUUCAACACGCUGCAACAAUGAAUGGAAAAAUGCUAAGUGCUCACAGAAAACCACAAAGUACUUAAGCCGUAAUGAAACAAAUCUCUUGAGUACCUGGAAAUAGGUGUUUUGAAAUGCAAUUUAGUGUGAGAACUGAUGAGAAUUUUGAUGAGCUGCUGGAUGAGUAGUUUGUUUUUAUAAGAUCUAUGACGAGCAACUUUUGUAAAUCUUACCUUAAAAGAAUUUGAAAUAUG